AGGGUUUGAUUAUGGCUCAGGAUGAACGCUGGCGGCGUGCUUAACACAUGCAAGUCGAACGAAGCAUUUACGACAGAUUUCUUCGGAUUGAAGUUGUUUAUGACUGAGUGGCGGACGGGUGAGUAACGCGUGGGUAACCUGCCUUGUACUGGGGGAUAGCAGCUGGAAACGGCUGGUAAUACCGCAUAAGCGCACGAUGUCGCAUGACAUAGUGUGAAAAACUCCGGUGGUAUAAGAUGGACCCGCGUCUGAUUAGCUAGUUGGUGAGAUAACAGCCCACCAAGGCGACGAUCAGUAGCCGACCUGAGAGGGUGACCGGCCACAUUGGGACUGAGACACGGCCCAG
rnacentral:rRNA from 1 species